rnacentral:rRNA from 1 species
UACAGAGGUCUCAAGCGUUGUUCGGAUUCAUUGGGCGUAAAGGGUGGGUAGGCGGCGCGGUAAGUCGGGUGUGAAAUCUCGGGGCUUAACUCCGAAACUGCAUUCGAUACUGCCGUGCUUGAGGACUGGAGAGGAGACUGGAAUUUACGGUGUAGCGGUGAAAUGCGUAGAUAUCGUAAGGAAGACCAGUGGCGAAGGCGGGUCUCUGGACAGUUCCUGACGCUGAGGCACGAAGGUCAGGGGAGCAAACGGG